UACAGAGGUCCCAAGCGUUGUUCGGAUUCACUGGGCGUAAAGGGUGCGUAGGCGGUCGGGUAAGUCUGUCGUGAAAUCUCCGAGCCCAACUCGGAAACUGCGUCGGAUACUAUUCGGCUAGAGGAGUGGAGGGGAGACUGGAAUUCUCGGUGUAGCAGUGAAAUGCGCAGAUAUCAGGAGGAACACCGAUGGCGAAGGCAAUCCCCUGGGCCUGCACUGACGCUCAUGCACGAAAGCGUGGGGAGCAAACAGG
rnacentral:rRNA from 1 species